rnacentral:rRNA from 1 species
CCUACGGGCGGCAGCAGUAGGGAAUUUUGCGCAAUGGGCGAAAGCCUGACGCAGCAACGCCGCGUGAUCGAGACGCCCUUCGGGGUGUAAAGAUCUGUCAGUGGGGACGAAACUUGACGGUACCCACAGAGGAAGCACCGGCUAACUCCGUGCCAGCAGCCGCGGUAAUACGGGGGGUGCAAGCGUUGUCCGGAAUCAUUGGGCGUAAAGAGGUCGUAGGCGGCACGUAAAGUCUGGUGUUAAAGGCAGAGGCUCAACUUCUGUACGGCACUGGAUACUUGCGAGCUAGAAUGCGGUAGAGGUAAAGGGAAUUCCUGGUGUAGCGGUGAAAUGCGUAGAUAUCAGGAGGAACAUCGGUGGCGUAAGCGCUUUACUGGGCCGUAAUUGACGCUGAGGAACGAAAGCCAGGGUAGCAAAUGGGAUUAGAUACCCUAGUAGUC